GUAGGUGGCAAGCGUUGUCCGGAAUUAUUGGGCGUAAAGCGCGCGCAGGCGGUCCUUUAAGUCUGAUGUGAAAUCCCACGGCUCAACCGUGGAAGGUCAUUGGAAACUGGGGGACUUGAGUACAGAAGAGGAAACGUGGAAUUCCAAGUGUAGCGGUGAAAUGCGUAGAGAUUUGGAGGAACACCAGUGGCGAAGGCGACUUUCUGGUCUGUAACUGACGCUGAGGCGCGAAAGCGUGGGGAGCAAACCAGGAUUAGAUACCCUGGUAGUCCACGCCGUAAACGAUGAGUGCUAAGUGUUAGGGGGUUUCCCGCCCCCUUAGUGCUGCAGCUAACGCAUUAAGCACUCCGCCUGGGGAGUACGGUCGCAAGACUG
rnacentral:rRNA from 1 species